rnacentral:rRNA from 1 species
GAUGAACGCUGGCGGCGUGCCUAAUACAUGCAAGUCGAGCGAACAGACGAGGAGCUUGCUCCUCUGACGUUAGCGGCGGACGGGUGAGUAACACGUGGAUAACCUACCUAUAAGACUGGGAUAACUUUGGGAAACCGGAGCUAAUACCGGAUAAUAUAUUGAACCGCAUGGUUCAAUAGUGAAGGACGGUUUUGCUGUCACUUAUAGAUGGAUCCGCGCCGCAUUAGCUAGUUGGUAAGGUAACGGCUUACCAAGGCAACGAUGCGUAGCCGACCUGAGAGGGGGAUCGGCCACACUGAAACUGAGACACGGUCCAGACUCCUACGGGAGGCAGCAGUAGGGAAUCUUCCGCAAGGGGCGAAAGCUGACGGAGCAACGCCGCGUGAGUGAUGAAGGUCUUCGGAUCGUAAAACUCUGUUAUUAGGGAAGAACAAAUGUGUAAGUAACUAUGCACGUCUUGACGGUACCUAAUCAGAAAGCCACGGCUAACUACGUG